ACAUGCAGUCGAACGGCAGCGGGCCCUUCGGGGUGCCGGCGAGUGGCGAACGGGUGAGUAAUGCAUCGGAACGUACCCGGGAGUGGGGGAUAACCGGCCGAAAGGCUGGCUAAUACCGCAUGAACUCGGAAGAGCAAAGCGGGGGACCUUUGGGCCUCGCGCUCUCGGAGCGGCCGAUGUCCGAUUAGCUAGUUGGUGAGGUAAAGGCUCACCAAGGCGACGGUCGGUAGCGGGUCUGAGAGGACGAUCCGCCACACUGGGACUGAGACACGGCCCAGACUCCUACGGGAGGCAGCAGUGGGGAAUAUUGGACAAUGGGCGCAAGCCUGAUCCAGCCAUGCCGCGUGUGUGAAGAAGGCCUUCGGGUCGUAAAGCUCUGUCCUAGGGGAAGAUAAUGACGGUACCCUAGGAGGAAGCCCCGGCUAACUACGUGCCAGCAGCCGCGGUAAUACGUAGGGGGCGAGCGUUAAUCGGAAUUACUGGGCGUAAAGCGUGCGCAGGCGGUUUUGUAAGACAGAUGUGAAAUCCCCGGGCUUAACCUGGGAACUGCGUUUGUGACUGCAAGGCUAGAGUACGGCAGAGGGGGGUGGAAUUCCUGGUGUAGCAGUGAAAUGCGUAGAUAUCAGAAGGAACACCGAUGGCGAAGGCAGCCCCCUGGGCCUGUACUGACGCUCAUGCACGAAAGCGUGGGGAGCAAACAGGAUUAGAUACCCUG
rnacentral:rRNA from 1 species